UCCUGAGGUUGACAUUGGUGUAAAAUGCGUUGGGACGAGAGGCGCCCACUUUUCGAAAAUCUUGCUCUCACAUUAAUUGAUCAAAGCCUAGUUUCUGUCAAACCAUGUAUUAUUUUCUUUUCCAUGGAGCCUCCCCCUGAAGAACUGAAUCGGCAAAUGCGUUGAAGGAUCUAAGCCGUCCAAUUGUCCCAUCAACGCAAACUGAACCUCCCAAUCGCGCAACCUCCCCCCCUUUUUUUUCUCCCCUUUUGCUGCAUACCGAAAUGGCCGAGAUUGAGCGAAGGAAACUUGGAAAAAGGGGGAUGAUUGAUAGGUUUUUAUUAGAGCGGGCG
rnacentral:sRNA from 1 species